AUACAGAGGGUGCAAGCGUUAAUCGGAAUUACUGGGCGUAAAGCGCGCGUAGGUGGUUCAGUAAGAUGGAAGUGAAAUCCCCGGGCUUAACCUGGGAACUGCUUUCAUAACUGCUGAGCUAGAGUACGGUAGAGGGUAGUGGAAUUUCCUGUGUAGCGGUGAAAUGCGUAGAUAUAGGAAGGAACACCAGUGGCGAAGGCGACUACCUGGACUGAUACGGACACUGAGGUGCGAAAGCGUGGGGAGCAAACAGGAUUAGAUCCCCUGGUCGUCCACGCCGUAAACGAUGUCAACUAGCCGUUGGGAACCUUGAGUUCUUAGUGGCGCAGCUAACGCACUAAGUUGACCGCCUGGGGAGUACGGUCGCAAGAUUAAAACUUAAAUGAAUUGGCGGGG
rnacentral:rRNA from 1 species